UACGAAGGGUGCAAGCGUUACUCGGAAUUACUGGGCGUAAAGCGUGCGUAGGUGGUGAGUUAAGUCUGAUGUGAAAUCCCCGGGCUCAACCUGGGAAUGGCAUUGGAUACUGGCUCGCUAGAGUGCGGUAGAGGGUGGUGGAAUUCCCGGUGUAGCAGUGAAAUGCGUAGAGAUGUGGAGGAAUACCGAUGGCGAAGGCAGCCCCCUGGGCCAACACUGACGCUCAUGCACGAAAGCGUGGGGAGCAAACAGG
rnacentral:rRNA from 1 species